AAAGGUAAGCUAAUAAGAGCAAAUGGUGGAUGCCUUGGCAGACAAAGGCGAUGAAGGACGUACUAGACUGCGAUAAGCUACGAGGAGCCGUCAAGGGGCAUUAAUUCGUAGAUUUCCGAAUGGGGCAACCCAAUACAUAGAGAUAUGUAUUACCAUAUAUGGAGCGAACGUUGGGAAUUGAAACAUCUUAGUACCAACAGGAAAAGAAAUCAAUAGAGAUUACGCUAGUAGCGGCGAGCGAAAGCGUAAGAGGGCAAACCACUAGUUUACUAGUGGGGUUGUAGGACUGCAACAAAGACUAAGCAAAGAUAGUAGAACAAGUUGGAAAGCUUGAGCGUAGAGGGUGAUACUCCCGUACAUAAAAUCUUUACUUUACUUAGCAGUAUCCUGAGUAGGGCGAGACACGUGAAAUCUUGUCUGAAGCUGGGUCGACCACGAUCCAACCCUAAAUACUAAUGUCUGACCGAUAGUGUACAAGUACCGUGAGGGAAAGGUGAAAAGAACUGAGGUGAUCAGAGUGAAAUAGAACCUGAAACCAUUUGCUUACAAUCAUUCAGAGCCCUAUGUAGCAAUACAGGGUGAUGGACUGCCUUUUGCAUAAUGAGCCUGCGAGUUGUGGUGUCUGGCAAGGUUAAGCUAACGUGAAGCCGUAGCGAAAGCGAGUCUUAAUAGGGCGAUAAGUCAGAUGCUGCAGACCCGAAACGAAGUGAUCUAUCCAUGAGCAGGUUGAAGCUAGUGUAAGAACUAGUGGAGGACCCAACCGACGGCCAUUGAAACGGCUCCGGAUGACUUGUGGAUAGGGGUGAAAGGCCAAUCAAACUUCGUGAUAGCUGGUUCUCUCCGAAAUAUAUUUAGGUAUAGCGUUGUGUAGUAGCUAUAAGGGGUAGAGCACUGAAUGGGCUAGGGCAUACACCAAUGUACCAAACCCUAUCAAACUCCGAAUACUUAUAGUGUAAUCACAGCAGUCAGGCGGCGAGUGAUAAAAUCCGUCGUCGAGAGGGGAACAACCCAGACUACCAGCUAAGGUCCCUAAAUCUUAUUUGAGUGGAAAACGAUGUGAAGUUACUUUAACAACCAGGAGGUUGGCUUAGAAGCAGCCAUCCUUUAAAGAAAGCGUAAUAGCUCACUGGUCUAGUGAUUUUGCGCGGAAAAUAUAACGGGGCUAAAAUAAGUACCGAAGCUGUAGACCCAAGCCUAGCUUGGGUGGUAGGAGAGCGUUCUAUAGGCGUUGAAGAUGUACCGGUAAGGAGCGUUGGAGCGUAUAGAAGUGAGCAUGCAGGCAUGAGUAGCGAUAAUUAAUGUGAGAAUCAUUAACGCCGUAAACCCAAGGUUUCCUACGCGAUGCUCGUCAUCGUAGGGUUAGUCGGGUCCUAAGCAAAGUCCGAAAGGGGUAUGCGAUGGAAAAUUGGUUAAUAUUCCAAUACCAACAUUAUUGUGCGAUGGAAGGACGCUUAGGGCUAAGCAAGCUAGCGGAUGGAAGUGCUAGUCUAAGGUAGUAGGUUGUUAUACAGGCAAAUCCGUAUAACAUUAGACCGAGAACUGAAAGGCUUUCUGAAGUCUUCGGAUGGAAGGAAGAAUUGCUGAUGCCGUCGAGCCAAGAAAAGUUUCUAAGUUUAGAUAAUGUUGCCCGUACCGUAAACCGACACAGGUGGGUGGGAUGAGUAUUCUAAGGCGCGUGGAAGAACUCUCUUUAAGGAACUCUGCAAAAUAGCACCGUAUCUUCGGUAUAAGGUGUGGUUAGCCUUGUAUUAGAAUUUGACUUCGAAGGCAAGGAAACUUACAACAAAGAGUCCCUCCCGACUGUUUACCAAAAACACAGCACUCUGCUAACACGUAAGUGGAUGUAUAGGGUGUGACGCCUGCCCGGUGCUCGAAGGUUAAUUGAUGGGGUCAGCAGCAAUGCGAAGCUCUUGAUCGAAGCCCGAGUAAACGGCGGCCGUAACUAUAACGGUCCUAAGGUAGCGAAAUUCCUUGUCGGUUAAAUACCGACCUGCAUGAAUGGCGUAACGAGAUGGGAGCUGUCUCAAAGAGGGAUCCAGUGAAAUUGUAGUGGAGGUGAAAAUUCCUCCUACCCGCGGCAAGACGGAAAGACCCCGUGGACCUUUACUACAGCUUGACACUGCUACUUGGAUAAGAAUGUGCAGGAUAGGUGGGAGGCUUUGAGUUAUAGACGCCAGUUUAUAAUGAGCCAUCGUUGAGAUACCACUCUUUCUUAUUCGGGUAGCUAACUAGCGUGAGUUAUCCUCACGUAGGACAAUGUCUGGUGGGUAGUUUGACUGGGGCGGUCGCCUCCCAAAAAAUAACGGAGGCUUACAAAGGUUGGUUCAAAACGGUUGGAAAUCGUUUGUAGAGUAUAAAGGCAUAAACCAGCUUAACUGCAAGACAAACACGUCAAGCAGAGACGAAAGUCGGUCUUAGUGAUCCGGUGGUUCUGUGUGGAAGGGCCAUCGCUCAAAGGAUAAAAGGUACCCCGGGGAUAACAGGCUGAUCUCCCCCAAGAGCUCACAUCGACGGGGAGGUUUGGCACCUCGAUGUCGGCUCAUCGCAUCCUGGGGCUGGAGCAGGUCCCAAGGGUAUGGCUGUUCGCCAUUUAAAGCGGUACGCGAGCUGGGUUCAGAACGUCGUGAGACAGUUCGGUCCCUAUCUGCCGUGGGCGUAAGAAGAUUGAAGAGAUUUGACCCUAGUACGAGAGGACCGGGUUGAACGAACCACUGGUGUAGCUGUUGUUCUGCCAAGAGCAUCGCAGCGUAGCUAAGUUCGGAUGUGAUAAGAGCUGAAAGCAUCUAAGCUCGAAGCCAACUCUAAGAUGAAUCUUCUCUUAAGGUCGCAGCAAGACUAGCUGCUUGAUAGGUUGGGUGUGUAAGUGGUGAAAGCCAUUUAGCUGACCAAUACUAAUAGACCGUCCGCUUACUUUAAAUAAGCAU
rnacentral:rRNA from 1 species